rnacentral:rRNA from 1 species
UACGGAGGAUCCAAGCGUUAUCCGGAUUUAUUGGGUUUAAAGGGUGCGUAGGCGGCCUAUUAAGUCAGGGGUGAAAGACGGUGGCUCAACCAUCGCAGUGCCCUUGAUACUGAUGGGCUUGAAUGAACUAGAGGUAGGCGGAAUGUGACAAGUAGCGGUGAAAUGCAUAGAUAUGUCACAGAACACCAAUUGCGAAGGCAGCUUACUAUGGUUUUAUUGACACUGAGGCACGAAAGCGUGGGGAUCAAACAGG